UUUCUUUUAAAAUGGUCUCUUUUAAACUGUGAUGUAAAUAAUCACAUAGGAGAUAUCAGAAGUGAGGACAUGUUCCGUCCAAUGUCCUUGUUUUCUCACUUGUCUUGAUUAAGAGAAUGGGGCUCAUUUAUUAGUCCCUUUCUUUCUUCCUUUAUGGAAAGUGUAGUAUUUGUAGAAAAUAAUGAUGUAUCACUGAAGCAACUGAAACUGAAGCAAAAUGUAUAGCCUGUUAUGACAGUGAUAGUCCAGAGGGGUAAUGCAGUCUUGAUACAAUAAAUAUGAGAUCGUUGUUUUGUGUCACAGCAAAUGUAAAGUCUCCUUUCUAUAGCUGGGCUGAUAGCCUUGGUUAUCUCUUGCGCCAUUGUGCCAUUCAAUUUACUAUGUAGUGAUUGUCUAAUACAAUGAAAACCAGAAAAUCUUCCACUGAGCAAUGCCAUGCUGUCACCUAGUUCUUUCCAGGAAGAAAACAGGAUUGGAACAGAUGAUUACAAUGAAGAAGCACCGUUUUAUAUUGGAUGAUGGCGAAUAUGGCAUUUUUUUCAGCUACAUUGUGUGACUAACAGCACAAAACCUUAGGCUUUGCCCCAGCAGAAUGAGUGACAUAUAUGACUCACUGUCCUGCGUGAUCUGCUGUUUUUUUCUUGGACGUCUUCCUGGUAUGGCAUGCUCCAAGGAAGAUCAACAAUAUAGUAUUAGCAUAUUUCCGAAAGCCUAUGGACAAGGUAGAUUUCUGGUGCAGCCCCACCCGUACUGGUCAGAGGCCAUGAGCAUCAAGACUGAAUGUAAAACACACCAGUGCAUAAUGAAAAGCUCAGAAAGGAAAGCUCUUAUGAGCAUGAUCACAAGGACUCUGUGAAGGAAGAUUGUGGUACAUAUAGAAAGUCAUUAUUUUUCCACAUGUGUUGUAACCUGUGUUUAUGCUACACCAAAAGAGCAUGGAGAGAGAGCAAGACAGCAAUUCAAAAACGUGGCCAGGGAUGACUUGAAAAAAUGCAGAACUCCACAACACAAUGGGUAGCACUUUUAAUUAAAUUUGUAGUCGACUGAUAAUAAAAUUGAUAAUUUGAC
rnacentral:lncRNA from 1 species